CACCGCGGUUAUACGAGCAACCCAAGUUAAUAUUUCCACGGCGUUAAGGGUGAUUAAAAAAAAUCUUACCACAAGUAAAGUUAAUACCACAUUAAGUCGUCAUACACUCCCAUGUCUGGAAAUAUCAAUUACAAAAGUAACUUUACACAAAAAGAACUUUCGACCUCACGACAGUUAAGACCCAAACUAGGAUUAGAUACCCUACUAUGCUUAACCAUAAACAUUGUUAUUAUUAGACCUACCUUAAUACCCGCCCGAGUACUACAAGCGCUAGCUUCAAACCCAAAGGACUUGGCGGUGCUCCAAACCCAUCUAGAGGAGCCUGUUCUAUAACCGAUGAUCCGCGUUUAACCUCACCACUUCUUGCCCUAAACCGCCUAUAUACCGCCGUCGCCAGCUCACCCUAUGAAGGUUUAACAGUAAGCAAAAUGACCCUCCCUCAACACGUCAGGUCGAGGUGUAGCGAAUGAAGUGGGAAGAAAUGGGCUACAUUCUCUAUCAAGAACACACGAAAAGAAGCAUGAAAACCCUCUCAAAGGUGGAUUUAGCAGUAAGUGAACUUUAGAACAUUACACUGAAACCGGCUCUGGAGCGCGCACACACCGCCCGUCACUCUCCUCGAAUAACUCCCUUAACUUUUAUAAAAACUUUUACCAACAAGAGGAGGCAAGUCGUAA
rnacentral:rRNA from 1 species